rnacentral:rRNA from 1 species
CGUGCAGGCGGUUUCUUAAGUUCGUCGUGAAAUCGCCCGGCUUAACCGGGCGGGGUCGAUGGAUACUGGGAGACUUGAGGGCGGUAGAGGCGUGUGGAAUUCCGGGUGUAGUGGUGAAAUGCGUAGAUAUCCGGAGGAACACCAGUGGCGAAGGCGACACGCUGGGCCGUACCUGACGCUAAGACGCGACAGCAUGGGGAGCGAACGGGAUUAGAAACCCCGGUAGUCCAUGCCGUAAACGAUGCCAACUGGGUGUUCGUCUCCCGCAAGGGAGGGGGUACCGAAGCAAACGCGAUAAGUUGGCCGCCUGGGGAGUACGGUCGCAAGGCUAAA